CCAUGAGACGCUCAAGGAGUGGGCAUGCGCUGGGUGUGUGCGUGGGAUGGGCAAACGAGUCCACGCGCAAGGCGGACUCGACCACGUGCAGGAGGCAAGUCACAACUGUGGCCACACAGCACACAGGGGGCCAUCUCCUCACAGCUGCACCUGGCAGGAGCACCUGAAGUAGGAAAGGAGGAUGCAAAUCUUGUCUCACGGUCAGAGGACAGACUGAUGUAAAAAUCAACUCAUGCACAGCUUUUCACAGUGGUAAGUCAGGUAGCACUUCUGAAGUGGGAUCUGCUGUGGUUAGGUUUAAAUAAAGAUACAGAGUAUUAUUAAAUGUAUAUAUUUUUUAAUAAAGCCAAUAGUUAUUUUACUUAUAGGAGCUUUAAAAGUAAGAUACAAAAUGUAGAGUUCCAGUUUGGAAGCAUUGUAACUAUUCACAAAAUGUCCUGCUGAUGCCGGAGCAAGGCAGCCAUGCCCGGCCAUGCCAAGGACACACUCACGCGCGCGUAUACACACAUGCACACACACAUGCGCUUUGGCGAGACCCCUCUGCCGAGACCCCUCUGCCGAGCGCAGCACCUGGAAUUACCAGUGUUCAGAGCAAGGCGGUGCUGGGAACACAGCACUUACAUGGAGACUACACAAACAGCUUCACACAGUCUCUCAGCCCAUGGAGAUACAGUUAUGAAAUAUCUUCCUAAAUUGAGAAGAACAAACUGGAAAGUGACAAUUAGCAAUGUCACUUGCACUGGGGCAUUGAGCACUGACCUCUGUCCACCAUGAGGUCUUUGGGGAGGCCCUAUUAAAAGUACUUUAUUAUAACAGAACUCCAAGUACUGGGUACUCUGGACACAUUACUGAAGGAAACAGAAAACUAUCUUACAAGUAAAACAGCCACAAAGAACUUUAACAGAGAUUAGUGUGCACACUGUGACAGCUAAUACAGACAAGAGCCACACAGGGUUGAUGCAAAGCACGUGCCUGAAAAACUCUAUGUACACACAGUUUUCUGUAAACAAGGUGAGGUGAAUGUGUGAAAGGAUCAUUAAGUACAGGCAGCAGUGACAUCUCCAUACGGAACAAAAGACAAUACCCAAGGCCUGGAACAGCCCGACAGCACAGUACUAAAAAUGCAGGUGGCUGGGCUCAGACAACCUAAGGGUCCUCUGUAAUGUGUGUGUGUGUGUGUGUGUGUGUGUGUGUAUGGUAUGUGUACAUAUAUAUAUAUAUAUUUAUUUAUUUAUUCUUUUUGGUAUUUUUAAAUAUAAAUUUACUUGUAUUUGUAGAAAAAUGAGAACAUAAAUGUGUUAUUACAAUCUUUGCUGGAAAAGCUUAUAUGGAGUUAGAAAGAAUAAACCAUUUAUUAGUAGUUAACAUAUAUUAAAAUGGUUUAAUGAUUUAAGAAAAUAUAAAAAAAAUAUUAAUACUGUCAAACUUUCAUACCAGAAAAUAUCAUGGAUUUUUAAUUAGACUUUUUCAAAGAUGAAAUAUGAAAAAUUUAAAUAAGUUUUAUAUAAAGAACUUUCUGCAACCUCAGUUAUACAGUGGGAUAUGUCUAGUCUAUAUAGAUAUAUUUAUUAUUUCUCAAUUUAAGCACCAUUCAAUUCUGGAUCCAUUCUGGCUGGAAAAUAUCCCUAAAUCCACAAGAUGUUAUCUACUUAAUCAUGGUACAUAUUAACUGAAAAUGAGGUGUUGUUUUGUUUUGUUUUUUUUUAAAGAAAAGACUUUAAUUCUUGCUCACAUCUUAAUUGGUUUGUCUUCUGAGCCAGCUCACAGAUAUCACUGGUUUCAAGUGCAGGUGUCUCUUGCAAUCCAGUGGCUACAGCUCAGCAUCCCAACGACUGCACAGUGCCUCUGUCCAAGUGUGGAAGCUCUGAGGGCAGCAGGUGCAGCUCUGUCUGCCCCAGACAUCAGCCAGCUGGCUCUUCUCCAUGCACCAUCAGCAACAGAGCUCCGGAAUCACUUUCACAACCCUGCUUUUGUGAAUCUGGUAGGGGGUACAUCCCCUGGGUGUUUCCGGGGUAGAAAAAGCUGCCCACUCACAGAACACCAGGUGAUACUUCUGGCUGCAAUAUUCUCUACCUUGCCCAUUUUGAGUAAGUUUAAGUAUAGUGUUAGCACAUCCCCAGACUGUAUCUGUUAUCUUAAACUACUGAAUGCAUUUUAGGCAGAUGUUUUAACUAAAAGCCUACAUGAAUAAUAGCUAUGAAAUCAGUGAUUGGUGUGGUCACCACUCAAUGUAUUAAGGAGGGAAAAGGAGAAGCUUUCAGAAGAAUGGUCAGUUUUGCUGUCAGCCUUCAGGCCUGACACCUUCCCAACACACAGCAGGAUUAGCAACCUUAGAACUGUGUUUUUCAGAGUGUGGCCUCUGGCCCCCUGCAUCAGAAUCACCUGAGGUGCUUAAACAUGCAGAUUAUCCAGCAUCCCCCUGAGUGUCAGAAAUCUCCAUCUUCAGCUGGUUUUCCAGGGGUCUGCUGCCUUCAAAGUUUGAGAAACCAGGCGAUAAAGGCUUGGAGCUGCCAACUACCCCUGUUGCCAAGGAGCCCUCCUUGGGACAGGGUGCACUGGUCCUCUUGGGGGCUGGUAUCAACUAGUCAGCCAUGGGGCAGAGGUACUGGCCCCAACAGCUCUGGGCAGGCAGGCAGGCAGGCUGACCCUGCAUCAGUACUGGGGCAAGUAGGCUGGCCUUCGCUCAGCCUUCCCAGGGAAGGCCUUGAAGCCCUUGGGUGCCGCCUUGUGUGCGGGUGGGGCUGGGGGCUGUGGUGGAGUCUGCAUGUAGGUGAAGGAGGUGGCACUGCAGUCGUUGGUUGCAGCCCACACAGGGGACUGUAGCAUCUGCAUGGUGUCGUUCCACUGGCUUCCAGGGCUGGCAACUGCAUAGAGCGGUGCACUUGGGCUGGGCAUUGUGCUGGGGAGCGGAGAAGGGUGCUGCCAGGGUGCUUUGGGUGGCCACGUUUUGGUUUUGUUAUCCUGAGAGAAAGAAGAGUUCUUAGUGGCAUGUUUGGUGAUUUGUCAUCCUUUCCCACCUCCCAGAUCUCUGGCCUUUUUUUCUACCUAGUAGGCAGGCAGGGUGUGAGUCCCAGCCUUGCCCUCGUCCUUGAGCACUGGAAUUUCUUACAAUAAUAACAGUGAUGUAUGUGUUCAACACAUAAGCCUCUAGUCACAUAUGGCUAAUGCACCCAUGGAACUGAAUAACUGAACAGCUGCACAUGGCAAUAUGGGACAGUACAACCCUAGAGCUUCUUCUACAUUUGGAUGAGCCAGCUGACAUAGUUAAUCAUUCAGACAAUCAGGAAAAAAAAGUGAUUCAGCACAAAGAACCCUCACGACUUAGUGGUCCUCUUAAACUGAAGCUCUGGAGCUUUGCUCAUGGUUUUUACAAUGGGCCAGCUGACAAUACCUGGUUCAUGUCUUCUACUGUAGUGAGGAGAGAUGGCGAGGGCAGCGUGUUGGUCUCUUGCUCUCCACUGCUGUGUUUCCUGAAAGAACCAAGAACCCAGAAUAGUAGUUGCCUGGCUGCUUGUCCUGCUUAGCUCUGGGGGACACCCUAGUUGCUUGUCUCUGGUGUCGUGGGACUCCGGUUGUAUGUGAAGUCCUGAGUCUGUCAUGUUCAGGGGUCAGGGAAACAGCACAUGCAUGCAGAUGGGAUGGGCAAGGCAGGCAUAAAGAAGAGUACUGGCUUUUUUCAUCUGCUGGCUGAGACCACCAGCUUUGGCUUUCAUUAAAUGGUUCAGUAGACCCUGGCUGUUUACCAUGUACAGAAUUAAAAGUAAAUGAGCCCUGAAUGCGAGGCAGAACGCAGGUGAGAGCCAGUGCUCUGUGUGCUCCUAGCAGUCUCUGCAGAAGUGGCUCUAGUCCUGGUUCACAGCAGUGCUGCAUGCAGACACAUGGGCCUCGCACUCGCCUAAACCCUUAUUCCUUCACCCUCACACAGCCUCUGCCAGCUGUUCACUCACUUCGGUCAGCGCUCUGUUGUUUAGAGGCCUCAUUCACCCUUCUGAAAGGAGAAAAACCCAUUUGUUUCUGCAGUUUCAACCCUCACACCUGCUGUAUUUUUAUUCACAACACCUAACCCAACAUGACACUUUGUAAAAUCUGCCUUCUUUACUAGUCUCUAAGUUCCAUGAGGAAGGAAGGCAAUUUUUUGUUUGCUGCUAUACCACAAAGGCAUAGUAUAUAACAGAUGCUGAUGUAUGAAUGAAUACAUUUAACUUUGAGCCUCAGUUUCCUCACCUGGAAACUGGGAGUAAACCUGUACUCAUAUGGUGACUGUUAUAGUUGAACUGUCUGCUAUCAAUUCAUAUGCUGAAGUUCUAAGCUCAUGUGACUGCAUUUAGAGAUAGGGCCUUACAGGUAAGUAAGUUAAAAUGAGGCAGUAGGUUGGGCCCUAGUCCAGCCUGGCUUUUUUUUUUUUUUUUUUUUUUGUAUUUUUCCUUUUUAUUGGUACCGGGGAUCAAACUCUUGACUGCCUGCUUGCAAGGCAGGCACUUAUGCUGCUGAGCUAAAUUCCCAGCCCCUCCAGCCUGGCUUUUAAGAAGAGACACACUGAAGGGAGAUCAUUAAAGCCAGAGGGAGAAGCCAGCUAUCACCACUCUGCAAUGGUAAGACAGGCUGUCAGUGCCAUUCAAGGAGGAGGGUUUCAGAGAAAACCAACCCUGCCAACAUCUAGAUUUCCAGUGUUUACAACUGUGAGAAAAUAAAUUUGUAUUGCUAAUGCCA